CCACACUGAAUGCACCAAAUCUCAUCUGAUCUCUGAGGCUAAGCAGGGCUGG
rnacentral:rRNA from 14 species